rnacentral:rRNA from 1 species
AUUGAACGCUGGCGGCAGGCCUAACACAUGCAAGUCGAACGAGUGGCGGACGGGUGAGUAAUGUCUGGGAAACUGCCCGAUGGAGGGGGAUAACUACUGGAAACGGUAGCUAAUACCGCAUACCAUCGGAUGUGCCCAGAUGGGAUUAGCUAGUAGGUGGGGUAACGGCUCACCUAGGCGACGAUCCCUAGCUGGUCUGAGAGGAUGACCAGCCACACUUGGACUGGGGCACGGUCCCAGCUUCUAAGGGAGGCAGCAGUGGGGAAUAUUGGAAAAUGGGCGCAAGCCUGAUGCCGCCAUGCCGCGUGGAUGAAGGAAGGCUUCGGGUUGUAAAGUACUUUCAGGGGGGGAGCGUUACUCGCAGAAGGAGCAACGGCUAACUCCGUGCCCACCGCCGCGGUAAUAA